GAAUUAACUAACUGUAAGUCGCUCUGGAUAAGAGCGUCUGCUAAAUCUGGUU
rfam:Salmo salar isolate Sally breed double haploid chromosome ssa28, whole genome shotgun sequence.